AUUAAAGCGGGCACGGCCCGCGAUCGCAGCAGCGCGGACUACGAGUCCAGUGGUUAUUAGAGCGGGCACGGCCCGCGAUCGCUGCAGCGCGGACUACGAGUCCAGUGGUUAUUAGAGCGGGCACGGCCCGCGAUCGCAGCAGCGCGGACUACGAGUCCAGUGGUUAUUAGAGCGGGCACGGCCCGCGAUCGCAGCAGCGCGGACUACGAGUCCAGUGGUUAUUAGAGCGGGCACGGCCCGCGAUCGCAGCAGCGCGGACUACGAGUCCAGUGGUUAUUAGAGCGGGCACGGCCCGCGAUCGCAGCAGCGCGGACUACGAGUCCAGGUUAAUAGA